rnacentral:miRNA from 1 species
GUCGGAAAGUUGAAUAUCGAA